GAUAGCAGUUUUCUAUUAAGCUUUAUAAUAGACACAAAAGAGUAAGAUUGCAAUGUAUACAUGUUCGCAAGUGUAAACUUGAUAAAACUAUUCUAUUAAGCUCUAAGGCCCUGUUUGGAUCGCGGGAUAAGCGGGGAUAACGAAAGUUAUCCCUGCUAUUCUGCCAAACGGGGUGAAAUUUGGCCGGGAUAUUUUAUCCCGGUCAAACCUUGCUAUUCCCGGUUAUCCCGGAAUAGCAAGGGAUUUGCUAUUCCACCAUUUUGGUGGAACAGUGCUAUUCCAAUGCUUAAUCUCAAGCUUAAUUAAACUUAUAAAUUGAAUUAAACUAAAUUAAACUAAAUUAUAUAAAUAUAAUAUGUUAUAUAUUAUAAUACAUUAUUUUUAUUAUAAAAUUAUUAAUUGUACUAUAUUAAUACAUAUUAUUUAUAUUUAAAUAUUAUAAUAAAAUAUUUAAAAAUUUAAAUUCAAAUAUAAUAAGUGGAUAAUAUCAUUAUUUUUUAUUUACAAAACCCAUUAUCUUUCUUAUUCCAUCUUACCUAACCAAACGCUAUUUUUUUUAUUCCAGGAAUAACCUAAUUUUCAUCCAAACGCAAAAUUGAUCUAAUCCUCGCUUAUACCUCAAUUUAUACCUAUCCCUGGAAUAGCCACUUUUUCCUUAUCCCCGAACCAAACGAUACCUAAGAGUGUUCUAUUCUACUAUGAGAAAAGAGUGUUGACACAAUAAAGCUAGCUAUUAAGAAUGUUCUAUUAACUAUUAACCUUUACAACUGUUCUAUUAUGGCAUAAAAGUGUUUUAUUCUACUAUGACAAAAGAGUGUUGACAAGUAUAAAGCUAAUAGAGUGUUCUUUUAACCUUUACAACUGUUCUAUUAUGCAAUAAAAGUGUUCUAUUCUACUAUGACAAAAAUUUGUUCACAACCAUAAAGCUAUUAAGAAUAUUCUAUUCACCUUUACAACUGUUCUAUUAAGCCUUAAGAGUGUUUUAUUCUACUAUGACAAAGGAGUGUGACAAUCAUAAAGCUAGCUAUUAAGAGUGUUCUAUUUAACCUUUACAACUGUUCUAUUAUGGCAUAAAACUGUUAUAAAGCCUAAAACUGAUAGCAGAUUCCAUUAAGCUUUAAGAAUAUUUUAUUAAGUCAUAAGAGGGUAAGAUUGGAAUGCAUACAUGUUCGCAACUGCAAAUCUGAUAAAAGUAUUCUAUUAUGCUCUAAGAGUGUUUUAUUCUACUAUGACAAAAGAGCGUUAACAACCAUAAAGCUAUUCAGAUUGUUCUAUUAACCUUUACAAUUAUUCUAUUAUGGCAUAAAGCUGUUAUAAAGCCUACAACUGAUAGCAGUGUUUAGUGAAACUUUAAGAAUAUUCUAUUAAGUCAUAAGAGGGUAAGAUUACAAAUGCAUACAUGUUCGCAACUAUAAACCUGAUAAAAGUAUUCUAUUAAGUCCUAGAAAUGUUCUACUAUGACAAAAGAGUGUUCACAAUCAUAAAGCUAAUAAUAGUGUUCUAUUAAGCUGUAAGAGUGUUCUUUUAUGCUAUAAGAGUGUCAGAUUGUCAAGCAUAUAUGUUCGCAAACACAAAUUCUAUAAAAGUGUUCUACUAAGAGUGUUCUUAUAAGCUCUAAGACUAAACCCUUUAUGGCAUAAGAGUAACAGAUUGUAAUGCAUACAUAAUUCUAGCCAACAAUACAUAUAUGAACACUUCUAUCAGCAAAUAUAUUUGCUGGUAUAUUAUAUUUGCUGGAUUGUGAACACUUCUAUCAGCUGGCCUAAUAGAACAUUCUAAACCACAAGCUUGCAUAAUAGAAUUCACAUACAUUAUUAUAACAUAAUAGAACAAUCUCAUCUUAAUACAAUUUUUGUUUCGUUGAAUGCGAACAUCUAAAUGCUGUGAAUAAAUGCUGUGGAUAAUAGAGCAUCUAUUAAGUGCAAAAAUAAUAUAUACAACUGUUAAGAGUGUUCACAACCAUAAACACCUUAAAAGUGUUCUAUUAUCCGUUAUAACUGUUCUAUUAUGGCAUAAAAGUAUUCUAAAUCAUAAAAUAAUGUUCACAAUUAUAAACCUAUUUAGAGUGUUCUAUUAUCCUUUACAACAGUUCUAUUAUGGCAUAAAAUGUUUCUAAAUUCUAAAACAGUGUUCACAACUAUAAACUUAUUAAGAGUGUUCUAUUAACCUUUACAUCUAUUCUAUUAUUAGAUCAAAGUGUUCAUAAUCCUGACAGCUGAUAGGAGUGUUCUAUUAUGCCCUAGGAUUGUUAUAUUAUGCCAUAAGAGGGUUCGAUUGCAACUCAUACAUGUUCGGAACCAUAAAAAUGGAACAUUCUAAACCCUAAACCCUAAUAGAACUGCUCACUGUCACAUGGAUUGUGAAUAUUCCUAUCAGCUGGCCUAAUAGAACAUUCUAAACCACAAGCUUGCAUAAUAGAAUUCAC
rnacentral:lncRNA from 1 species